rnacentral:lncRNA from 1 species
CUGAUUAUUCUCCAGGAGGCUCUUCUAGCUCCAAUCACAUUCUUAUAUGUAACAGAUAGGAGGUUUCUUUCUUCAGCUGUCAGCUCCACAUCCAUCCCUGCUAAUUUCUUCACUGACUCCACCAUUUCUAUAAGGGAAAAGCAAAAUCCCGGGUCCCUCAGACAAAAGGGCGGGUGGAGGAGGAGAAGCCGAGAGUCCUGCUCCGGCGCCGCCGGAGCACCGCCUGCCUCAGCCGACCAGCGCCGUCGACUACUGGGCCUAGCCCAGACGAGAGGAGGGAAAGGCCGCAGAGGCCGCGAGGAUGCUGCGGAGGCGCGGGCGGCCGGCUGCCGCCUAGUUGUGCAGCCCAGACCAAGGAAAGAGAAGUGGGAGGAGCGGGGAGCUCGGCGUCCCGCGUCCUCCGCGGCUCAGGACGACUACGCUCGGCACGUCCGGGACCCUCCGGCCGUGGCGGUUGCAGCGCCAAAAGCUCGGGCCUCAGCCCCUGACGCUGUGGUGACUCCGCCGCGCCUCGCCGUCGCCCCUGUCCCCGUCCUGCCCGCCGCCUCCGCCGCUGGGGACAUGUCCAACCCCGGAAGCCGGAGGAACGGGCCCGUCAAGCUGCACCUGACAGGUAUAUUGAAAAGUCUGAUUCAGUUACAAUCAGUGUAUGGAAUCACAAGAAGAUCCAUAAGAAACAAGGUGCUGGAUUUCUCCGUUGUGUUCAUCUUUUUCCAGUGCCAUCAACCACCUCAAAGACACUGGUUAUCAGAGGUUGGAUUUAUGCAAACCUGGGCCAAAGGACAGUUAGAAGACGUGCUGAUGGGCCCGUGCAACAGUUGCUGGUAAAUGGCUGAUUAAAAAGCACAGAAAGCCGAACAAGACCCAACCAAAUUUGGUAAUUCAUCCGAUUCAAAAUUGUUUUGGUUAAAUCAAAAAUACAAGUACA